UAUAAAUUUAUGAUUUUUAAGAUUUAUUUUAAAUUUAUUUUACAUGUAAAUUUUAGUAUUAAUUUUUAAUUAUUUUAAUAAUAUAAUUAAUAAAGCAGUAAUUAAUAUUAAAAAUUUAAGAAAUUAAGAUUUAGUAAUAUUUAAAUUAAUAACAAAUUUUGUGCCAGCAGUUGCGGUUACACAAAAAUUAAAAUAAAUUUUUUUAGUUAUAAUAAGUAAAAUAAAUUAAUUUUAUAAAUUAAAUUUUAAAUUAUUAAGUGAAAUUUUAAUUUAAUUAAAAUUUAUAAUUAAAUUAUGAUUUAAUAAAUUUAUUAAGAAACUAGGAUUAGAUACCCUAUUAUUAAAAAUUUAAAUUAUAAUACUAAAAUAGUAAAUAAAAUAUUAUUGAAACUUAAAUAAUUUGGCGGUAUUUUAGUUCAUUUAGAGGAAUCUGUUUAUAAUUGAUAAUCCACGAAUUAAUUUACUUAAUUUAAUAUUUUGUAUAUCGUUGUUAAAAAAAUAUUUUAAAAUAAGAAUAAUAUUUUAAUUUUUUAAAAAUAAGUUAGUUCAGAUCAAGAUGCAGAUUAUAAUUAAGAAUAUAAUGGAUUACAAUAAAUUUAUUUAAAUGGAUAUUAUUUUGGAAUAAUUAAUUAAAAGUGGAUUUAAAUGUAAUUUUAUAAAUUUUAAUAUAAUGAUUAAGAGUUAAAAUAUGUACAUAUUGCCCGUCGCUUUCAUUUAAAAAUUGGAAUAAGUCGUAACAAAGUAGAGGUACUGGAAAGUGUUUCUAGAAAGAC
rnacentral:ncRNA from 1 species